rnacentral:rRNA from 1 species
CCCUUAGAUGUCCUGGGCUGCACGCGCGCUACACAGAUGUGUCCAGUAAGCACCUAACCUCUUCCGAAAGGAACGGGUAACCUUUGCAAAGCACAUCGUGAUGGGGAUAGAUUAUUGCAAUUAUUAGUCUUGAACGAGGAAUUCCUAGUAAGCACAAGUCAUCAGCUUGUGUUGAUUACGUCCCUGCCCUUUGUACACACCGCCCGUCGCUCCUACCGAUUGAAUGUUCCGGUGAGCUCUUCGGACUGCGCGGUCUGCAGUUUCUGCGUUCCGUGCGGAAAGUUGCGCAAACCUUAACAUUUAGAGGAAGGAGAAGUCGUAACA